UACGAAGGGGGCUAGCGUUGCUCGGAAUCACUGGGCGUAAAGCGCACGUAGGCGGACUUUUAAGUCGGAGGUGAAAUCCUGGAGCUCAACUCCAGAACUGCCUUCGAUACUGAGAGUCUUCGAGUUCGGGAGAGGUGAGUGGAACUGCGAGUGUAGAGGUGAAAUUCGUAGAUAUUCGCAGGAACACCAGUGGCGAAGGCGGCUCACUGGUCCGAUACUGACGCUGAGGUGCGAAAGCGUGGGGAGCAAACAGG
rnacentral:rRNA from 1 species